rnacentral:rRNA from 1 species
GAUGAACGCUAGCUACAUGCUUAACACAUGCAAGUCGAGGGACCGGCGCACGGGUGAGUAACACGUACCCAACGUUCACUUUACUCGGGGAUAGCCUUUAGAAAGAAAGAUUAAUACCCGAACCAAAGGAGGGGGAUGGGUUCGAUGAGGUGGUUGGUGAGGUAACGGCUCACCAAGCCUUCGAUGGAGAGGGGAGCUGAGAGGAAGGGACCCCACAUUGGAACCGAGGCACGGACCAAACCAGUACGGGAGGCAGGAGUGAGGAAGAUUAGGCAAGGAGCGCUAGCCUGAAACAGCCAAGUAGCGUAAAGAGUUAUGGUGUAUGAGUCCUCAACUUUUUUUGUAUAAGAAGAGGUAUUAUACGAAUAAGGAACGGCUAACUACGUGCCAGCAGCCGCGGUAAUAC